UGAACGCUGGCGGCGUGCCUAAUACAUGCAAGUCGAGCGAACAGACGAGGAGCUUGCUCCUCUGACGUUAGCGGCGGAAGGGUGAGUAACACGUGGAUAACCUACCUAUAAGACUGGGAUAACUUCGGGAAACCGGAGCUAAUACCGGAUAAUAUAUUGAACCGCAUGGUUCAAUAGUGAAAGACGGUUUUGCUGUCACUUAUAGAUGGAUCCGCGCCGCAUUAGCUAGUUGGUAAGGUAACGGCUUACCAAGGCAACGAUGCGUAGCCGACCUGAGAGGGUGAUCGGCCACACUGGAACUGAGACACGGUCCAGACUCCUACGGGAGGCAGCAGUAGGGAAUCUUCCGCAAUGGGCGAAAGCCUGACGGAGCAACGCCGCGUGAGUGAUGAAGGUCUUCGGAUCGUAAAACUCUGUUAUUAGGGAAGAACAAAUGUGUAAGUAACUAUGCACGUCUUGACGGUACCUAAUCAGAAAGCCACGGCUAACUACGUG
rnacentral:rRNA from 1 species